AAUGUCUCCUCUCUAUUGUCAAUAUCAUGUAGAGAGUAUUGUUUACAGGCAGGUUGGUAAAUGUCUCCUCUCUAUUGUCAGUAUCAUGUAGAGUAUUGUUUACAGGCAGGUUGGUAAAUGUCUCCUCUCUAUUGUCAGUAUCAUGUAGAGAGUAUUGUUUACAGGCAGGUUGGUAAAUGUCUCCUCUCUAUUGUCAGUAUCAUGUAGAGAGUAUUGUUUACAGGCAGGUUGGUAAAUGUCUCCUCUCUAUUGUCAGUAUCAUGUAGAGUAUUGUUUACAGGCAGGUUGGUAAAUGUCUCCUCUCUAUUGUCAGUAUCAUGUAGAGUAUUGUUUACAGGCAGGUUGGUAAAUGUCUCCUCUCUAUUGUUAGUAUCAUGUAGAGUAUUGUUUACAGGCAGGUUGGUAAAUGUCUCCUCUCUAUUGUCAGUAUCAUGUAGAGUAUUGUUUACAGGCAGGUUGGUAAAUGUCUUCUCUCUAUUAUCAGUAUCAUGUAGAGUAUUGUUUACAGGCAGGUUGGUAAAUGUCUCCUCUCUAUUGUCAGUAUCAUGUAUUGUUUACAGGCAGGUUGGUAAAUGUCUCCUCUCUAUUGUCAGUAUCAUGUAGAGAGUAUUGUUUACAGGCAGGUUGGUAAAUGUCUUCUCUCUAUUGUCAGUAUCAUGUAUUGUUUACAGGCAGGUUGGUAAAUGUCUCCUCUCUAUUGUCAGUAUCAUGUAGAGUAUUGUUUACAGGCAGGUUGGUAAAUGUCCCCUCUCUAUUGUCAGUAUCAUGUAGAGAGUAUUGUUUACAGGCAGGUUGGUAAAUGUCCCCUCUCUAUUGUCAGUAUCAUGUAGAGAGUAUUGUUUACAGGCAGGUUGGUAAAUGUCUCCUCUCUAUUGUCAGUAUCAUGUAGAGAGUAUUGUUUACAGGCAGGUUGGUAAAUGUCUUCUCUCUAUUGUCAGUAUCAUGUAUUGUUUACAGGCAGGUUGGUAAAUGUCUCCUCUCUAUUGUCAGUAUCAUGUAGAGUAUUGUUUACAGGCAGGUUGGUAAAUGUCCCCUCUCUAUUGUCAGUAUCAUGUAGAGAGUAUUGUUUACAGGCAGGCUGGUAAAUGUCUCCUCUCUAUUGUCAGUAUCAUGUAGAGAGUAUUGUUUACAGGCAGGUUGGUAAAUGUCUUCUCUCUAUUGUCAGUAUCAUGUAUUGUUUACAGGCAGGUUGGUAAAUGUCUCCUCUCUAUUGUCAGUAUCAUGUAGAGAGUAUUGUUUACAGGCAGGUUGGUAAAUGUCUCCUCUCUAUUGUCAGUAUCAUGUAGAGUAUUGUUUACAGGCAGGUUGGUAAAUGUCCCCUCUCUAUUGUCAGUAUCAUGUAGAGAGUAUUGUUUACAGGCAGGUUGGUAAAUGUCUCCUCUCUAUUGUCAGUAUCAUGUAGAGAGUAUUGUUUACAGGCAGGUUGGUAAAUGUCUUCUCUCUAUUGUCAGUAUCAUGUAUUGUUUACAGGCAGGUUGGUAAAUGUCCCCUCUCUAUUGUCAGUAUCAUGUAGAGAGUAUUGUUUACAGGCAGGUUGGUAAAUGUCCCCUCUCUAUUGUCAGUAUCAUGUAGAGAGUAUUGUUUACAGGCAGGUUGGUAAAUGUCUCCUCUCUAUUGUCAGUAUCAUGUAUUGUUUACAGGCAGGUUGGUAAAUGUCUUCUCUCUAUUGUCAGUAUCAUGUAUUGUUUACAGGCAGGUUGGUAAAUGUCUCCUCUCUAUUGUCAAUAUCAUGUAGAGUAUUGUUUACAGGCAGGUUGGUAAAUGUCUCCUCUCUAUUGUCAAUAUCGUGUAGAGUAUUGUUUACAGGCAGGUUGGUAAAUGUCUCCUCUCUAUUGUCAAUAUCGUGUAGAGUAUUGUUUACAGGCAGGUUGGUAAAUGUCUCCUCUCUAUUGUCAGUAUCAUGUAGAGUAUUGUUUACAGGCAGGUUGGUAAAUGUCUCCUCUCUAUUGUCAGUAUCAUGUAGAGUAUUGUUUACAGGCAGGUUGGUAAAUGUCCCCUCUCUAUUGUCAGUAUCAUGUAUUGUUUACAGGCAGGUUGGUAAAUGUCUCCUCUCUAUUGUCAGUAUCAUGUGAAGUAUUGUUUACAGGCAGGUUGGUAAAUGUCUCCUCUCUAUUGUCAGUAUCAUGUAGAGUAUUGUUUACAGGCAGGUUGGUAAAUGUCUCCUCUCUAUUGUCAGUAUCAUGUAGAGUAUUGUUUACAGGCAGGUUGGUAAAUGUCUCCUCUCUAUUGUCAGUAUCAUGUAUUGUUUACAGGCAGGUUGGUAAAUGUCUCCUCUCUAUUGUCAGUAUCAUGUGAAGUAUUGUUUACAGGCAGGUUGGUAAAUGUCUCCUCUCUAUUGUCAGUAUCAUGUAGAGUAUUGUUUACAGGCAGGUUGGUAAAUGUCUCCUCUCUAUUGUCAGUAUCAUGUAGAGAGUAUUGUUUACAGGCAGGUUGGUAAAUGUCUCCUCUCUAUUGUCAGUAUCAUGUAGAGUAUUGUUUACAGCAGUAAGCGGCCAUUGUGCCAUCAGUGCCCUAGUAGAGGCAAUUUAGGACGAUUCUGAGUUGGCCAGAUGUUUAUCUAUAUUGAUCAUCCAGCACUUUUCCAUACACAGUCAUACUUCUAUUAAAUGACCAACCUUUUGAGACCACUAUACUUUUGGAUGACUUAUUCUUUUCACUAAAAUCAUGUAAAUGGAUUUCUCUAUUAUGUGGCCAACCUAUUAUGCAGCAACCACUUAUCCUGGUCCAUGGGGAGGUGGCUUAAUGGUGAAGUAAAAGUGCCAACUGAAAGCCUGUUUUAUUCAUAUUUUUUUUCA